rnacentral:rRNA from 1 species
CACGUAGGGUGCGAGCGUUGUCCGGAAUUAUUGGGCGUAAAGAGCUCGUAGGCGGUGUGUCGCGUCGGCCGUGAAAACCUGCAGCUUAACUGUGGGCUUGCGGUCGAUACGGGCAUGACUGGAGUUCGGUAGGGGAGACUGGAAUUCCUGGUGUAGCGGUGAAAUGCGCAGAUAUCAGGAGGAACACCCGUGGCGAAAGCGGCUCUCUGGGACGGUACUGACGCUGAGACGCGAAAGCGUGGGGAGCAAACAGG